rnacentral:rRNA from 1 species
ACAGUUUUAUCAGGUAAAGCUAAUGAUUAGUGGCCUCGGGAAUAAAUUUCCUCGACCAAUUCUCAAACUUUAAAAUUGGUAAGAACCGUUUGUUUUCUUAAUUGAACGGACGGGAAGAAUGUGUGUUCUUAGUGGCCCAAUUUUGGUAAGCAGAAUCGGGGAUUGGAGAUGCUUCCAAAGUCAAGUUAAGGUGCCAAAAUCGCAAUCAUCAGACACCAUAAAAGGCGUUGUUUCAUUAAGACAGCAGGACGGUGACCCUAGGAGCAGGUACCCGCUAAGGAAUGCUUUCCGCUCACCUGCCGAAUGAGUCAGCCCUGAAAAUGGAUGGCGCUAUAUUGCGAUACCGAUACUUGACCAUUAGAGCAAAAAGACGCUUUAAUGUGUAGGAGGACGUGGGCGUAGUGUAGAAGCUUUGGCGAGAGCCUUGGUGGAACUGCGUCUAGUGCAGAUCUUGGUGGUAGUAGCAAUUAUUCAAAUGAGAACUUUGAAGGCCGAAGUGGAGAAGGGUUCCAUGAGAACAGCAAUUGGUCAUGGGUUACUCGAUCCUAAGGCAAGGCUUAAAUGCUUCCGAAACAGUGUUAAACUGUGCUGCCGAAAGGGAAUGAGGUUAAUAUUCCUCAAGCUAGUCAUGGAUGCUGUGUGGCAACACAACCAAACUCGGAGACGCCGGAUUGUACCCCUGGAAGAGUUCUCUUUUUCUUCUUAACUGUUUCAAGCCGCGGAAUUGGAUUACCCAGAGAGGCGGCCCAAUAACAGGUAGAGCAGAUCACUUUACGAUCUGUCAGGUGCGUUCAGUACGGCCCGUGAAAAUCCGAGGGCGAAACUUAAAUGCAUGCUAGAUCGUACCAACAACCGCAUCAGGUCUCCAAGGUUAGCAGCCUCUGGUCAAAUAGAAGAAUGUAGAUAAGGGAAUUCGGCAAAUUAGAUCCGUAACUUCGGGAAAAGGAUUGGCUCUGAGGACUGGGUGGAUUUGCGAAUUUUGACUCCUCAGGAAGAGAACUCGUCAGGGAUGCAAGUCCCCGGCAAGUUCUUUUCCAGAGGAGUCUUUAGGAGCUGCCACAAUUAACAGUCAACUCAGAACUGAAGCGGACAAGGGGAAUCUAACUGUUUAAUAAAAACAUAGCAUUGUGAUGACCUGAAAAGGCUUUGACACAAUGUGAUUUCUGCCCAGUGCUCUGAACGUUAAAGUGAAGAAAUUCAACUAUGCGCGGGUAAACGGCGGGAGUAACUAUAACUCUCUUAAGGUAGCCAAAUGCCUCGCCAGGUAAUUUCUGGCGCGCAUGAAUGGAUCAAUGAGAUUCCUACUGUCCCUAUCUACUAUCUAGCGAACCCACAGCCAAGGGAACGGGCUUGGCAAAAUCAGCGGGGAAAGAAGACCCUCUCAAGUUUGACUCUAGUCUGACUUUGUGACAUGGCAAUUGGGGUAUAGUAUAGGUGGGAGAUUCGUCAACAAUGUAAUACCACUACUCAUUUAGUCAUUUUACUAAUCUCGUUAUGCAUAGACCUUCGGGGUUCUAGAUUUAAAGUCCGCAAGGACCGAAUAUGGGCGAGAGACAUGGUUAGAUGGGGAGUUUGGCUGGGGCGGCACUUCUGUUAAACUCUAACGCAGGUGUCCUACGGAAAGCUCAAAGAGAACAGAAAUCUCUUGUAGACCAAAAGGGGAAAAGCUUUCUUGAUUUUGGCUUUCAGUAAAAGCACAAACUGUGAAAGCAUGGCCUAUUGAUCCUUUAACUUUAUAAGUUUUAAGCUAGAGGUGUCAGAAAAAUUACUGGAGGAUAACUGACUUGUGGCUGCCAAGCGUACAUAGCGACGUAGCUUUUUGAUCCUUCGAUGUCGGCUCUUCCUAUCAUUGUGUUGCAAAAGGCACAACGUGUCGGAUUGUUCACCCGCUAACAGGGAACGUGAGCUGGGUUUAGACCGUCGUGAGACAGGUUAGUUUUACCCUACUGAUGAAGAGAUACCGCGACACUAUAGCAGCCUAGUACGAAAGGAACAGCUGUUACAGAUAAUUGGUAAAUACGGUUGGCUGAACAGCCAGUGCCGUGAAGCUAUCAUCUGUUGGAUUAUGACUGAUUGCCUCUAAGUCAGAAUCCAUUGUGGAAAGCGGUGUCCCAAC